rnacentral:rRNA from 1 species
UAGGGAAUUUUUCACAAUGAGCGAAAGCUUGAUGGAGCAAUGCCGCGUGAACGAUGAAGGUCUUUAAGAUUGUAAAGUUCUUUUAUUUGGGAAGAAUGACUUUAGCAGGUAAUGGCUAGAGUUUGACUGUACCAUUUUGAAUAAGUGACGACUAACUAUGUGCCAGCAGUCGCGGUAAUACAUAGGUCGCAAGCGUUAUCCGGAUUUAUUGGGCGUAAAGCAAGCGCAGGCGGAUUGAAAAGUCUGGUGUUAAGGGCAGCUGCUUAACAGUUGUAUGCAUUGGAAACUAUUAAUCUAGAGUGUGGUAGGGAGUUUUGGAAUUUCAUGUGGAGCGGUGAAAUGCGUAGAUAUAUGAAGGAACACCAGUGGCGAAGGCGAAAACUUAGGCCAUUACUGACGCUUAGGCUUGAAAGUGUGGGGAGCAAAUAGGAUUAGAUACCCUAGUAGUCCACACCGUAAACGAUAGAUACUAGCUGUCGGGGCGAUCCCCUCGGUAGUGAAGUUAACACAUUAAGUAUCUCGCCUGGGUAGUACAUUCGCAAGAAUG